GGCCCCAGCGGGGCUGCAGAAAGGGUGGGAGUGCCCUCCGGUGAUUAAACAGCCCCCGCCUCUGGUAGGUGCUGAGAGGGCGAGAUUAAGCGGGCACUUACUGUAUGGACUACGUAUUAACCGCAUCACCUUGUAUCCCUCGGGCUCCGCCACCAGCGAGGAGAAGUUACAUCUUCUGGGAUCAGGGAGAAGAGAAUCUCACCCCUGACUCCUAACAGGGGCCUUCAACCCAGGGAGUCACAUCAGGAACCCAGUUCAAAAGAAAGAGGCCGGGCAGGCAGAGAGUUAAAAUUACAGUGUGAGGAGACACUGCCCACUGCAGAUCAAUCCCGCAGAAGAUAAAGCAUCUCAGAAGUGAUGUCAGUGGCUGACUGGUUCCCAUUUACUGGCCUUUCAGGGACGCCCGCAUCUCCCUGCUAAGGACGGGUUUCUGUGCCUCAGAGAUCCCCUACCUACCACCAGGCACCCCGGCCCUCCGUGCUCCCACUCAGGACUGUGCCGUCCAUCAGACCCUGUGGCUGAAGACCUGGCUUCUCCAUCCCCCACCCCACCUCACCGAAACUAGGCCAUCUCCAGGGCAGCCCCUAGACACCCCUCGCCCAAGAGGGAUCUCUACAAUCAUCAUUCCCGGACUCUCCCUGCCUUCUGUGAAGAUUCUCAAGUGUCCUCACAGAAACGGCUCCCAAGGAACUUUCUGCUAAGUGUGUGAAGGCCAGAGCUCCUGCUGACUUUUGCUCGGGACCACCACCAGCUGAAAGUCUGGACAGUCUUUCCACAUGUGGGCCAAUACACACCACCCUCCCCCCGACCACCAACCCUCUGUCACCGAUGCCCACGGGACAGUGACUGGUCCAGCAUGGAGACGCUCUUGUUGACACUCAGCAUCUUCUGCUCCGGUUCUGUGAUGUCCGAGCUGCUCGUGCAGUACGCGGCCCUCGAGAAAGCCACAUGGGGCCCAGCGGAGUGUAUCCAGGACAGAAGCAUAAGGGCGCCUAGGGCACAGGUUUGGGGCCCUGGGUGCUCACCUGUUGAGGUCCCGCAUCACGUAGCCCUGCAUCUCGGCCGAAGGGCCCCGCAGCACCACAGGCUGAGGCCGGGGCCGCUCGCUCUGACGGCUUGGCUGCCGUUGGAUGUUGGGGUUCCUCAGAGCUGUGCUGAUGUCGUUGAGGAGCCGGGGCAGUGGGCCCAGCUUCAGGAGGGCUUCCUGGAAUGGGGAGGCUAUUACCCGGGGGCUAACAGCCCAGCUUUAAGGGGGCCUCAGAGAGUUCAGGUAGAAGGAGUCUGAGCUGGGGAAGUGGCAUUGGAAGUGGCAGUGACAUGUCUGGGAACAGGAGGGGGGAAGAAUCUGCGCAGGGGGUGGUCUCCGGGCUACAGGAGCCUCUGGAGACCUGAGGACGGGUCAAGGGGCCUAUGCUCACCUUGCUGAGCUGGGGCAGCACCUCCCAGAGCAGGGCAUGCAGCGUGGAGAGCUCUCGGCCCAGGUCGAUGUAACCCUCAAAGCUACUGCUAUUGGUCAGUGUGUCCAGGUUGGAGAUCUCGUACAGGAACUGCUGCAUGGAACCCCACUCGAGCUCCAGAAACUCAUUCAUGAAGCCCAGAAAGUCCUCCUUUGAGGUCCUCUGAGGGCAGGGGCCAAGCCUCAUGGCUCUCUGUCUGCUCUACGGCACCAAGCACAAUGCUUUGCCCAUAACUGGUUCUCAGUCCUCUUUGAAGAUGGACAGAUGGAUGAACAGAUGAACACACGACUCCCCCAACCCUGGCCCCCCAACCCAGGGUUCCCAGUCUCACCAAUGGG